AAUAGCCCAGAGAAAUUUGGAUUAAUGCCCCAUGGUACCACGGAGUCGCAUGACUAUGUGGUUAAAGAUUUAUCGGAAGGGGAUGGCGAUGCGUAUCAUUAGCUUGUUGGUAAGGUAACGGCUUACCAAGGCAACGAUGAUUAGGGGCCCUGAGAGGGGGAUCCCCCACACUGGUACUGAGACACGGACCAGACUCCUACGGGAGGCAGCAGUGAGGAAUAUUGGACAAUGGCCGGAAGUUGAUCCAGCCAUGCCGCGUGCGGAUGACGGCCCUAUGGUUGUAAACCGCUUUUGUACGGGAAGAAACCCCGCCACGUGUGGGCUGACGGUACCGUAAGAAUAAGGACCGGCUAACUCCGUGCCAGCAGCCGCGGUAAUACGGAGGGUCCGAGCGUUAUCCGGAAUCAUUGGGUUUAAAGGGUCCGCAGCGGGCCUGUAAGUCAGGGGUGAAAGGCCACGGCUCAACCGUGGACUGCCCUUGAUACUGCAGGUCUUGAGUCAUGGUGAGGUUGCCGGAACAUGUGGUGUAGCGGUGAAAUGCAUAGAUAUCACAUAGAACACCGAUCGCGAAGCAGGUGGCCAACCAUGAACUGACGCUGAUGGACGAAAGCGUGGGGAGCGAACGGGAUUAGAUACCCCGGUAGUCCACGCCGUAAACGAUGGACACUAGCUGUCGGGA
rnacentral:rRNA from 1 species